rnacentral:rRNA from 1 species
UGUAAGCGUUGUGAGGCGUUGAGCUAACCUGUAAUAAUUACCCGCGAGGCUUAACCAUACAACACCCAAAGGGUUUUG